UGUUUUUAUGUGCAUGCAGCAAGUGCCUCGUAUCAUGCACAAACUUGCCACAGCCGAGAGCAUCGAGCAGCAAAGCAAUUUAUGUGUUUAAUGAGAAAUUAAGCGUCAGCACUUCUUAUGCAUGCAAUUUCCACAACUUUUAAAUUGAAAACUGUUUUUACCGGCUGUUCCAAAUCCAUUUGCAUUUAGCCUCGGUCUAACACAAUGCUUUCAAGUUUCGUCCAUUGUGAUAAUCGAAAUGCGUUGAACUUUCAAUUCUAUAAGAUGCUCUUGGGUUGUAGAGCGUACACUUUUGCUUA